rnacentral:rRNA from 1 species
UACGAAGGGGGCUAGCGUUGUCCGGAAUUACUGGGCGUAAAGAGCUCGUAGGUGGUUUGUCGCGUUGUUCGUGAAAUCUCACGGCUUAACUGUGAGCGUGCGGGCGAUACGGGCAGACUUGAGUACUGCAGGGGAGACUGGAAUUCCUGGUGUAGCGGUGAAAUGCGCAGAUAUCAGGAGGAACACCGGUGGCGAAGGCGGGUCUCUGGGCCGAUACUGACGCUGAGGAGCGAAAGCGUGGGGAGCGAACAGG